rnacentral:rRNA from 1 species
GAUGAACGCUGGCGGCGUGCCUAAUACAUGCAAGUCGAGCGAACGGACGAGAAGCUUGCUUCUCUGAUGUUAGCGGCGGACGGGUGAGUAACACGUGGAUAACCUACCUAUAAGACUGGGAUAACUUCGGGAAACCGUAGCUAAUACCGGAUAAUAUUUUGAACCGCAUGGUUCAAAAGUGAAAGACGGUCUUGCUGUCACUUAUAGAUGGAUCCGCGCUGCAUUAGCUAGUUGGUAAGGUAACGGCUUACCAAGGCAACGAUGCAUAGCCGACCUGAGAGGGUGAUCGGCCACCCUGGAACGGAGACCCGGCCCAGACUCCUACGGGGGGCAGAAGUAGGGAAUCUUCCGCAAUGGGCGAAAGCCUGAGGGAGCAACGCCGGGGGAGUGAUGAAGGUCUUCGGAUCGUAAAACUCUUUUAUUAGGGAAAAACAUAUGGGUAAGUAACUGUGCACAUUUUGACGGUACCUAAUCAGAAAGCCACGGCGAACUACGU